UACAGAGGGUGCGAGCGUUGUCCGGAAUCACUGGGCGUAAAGGGCGCGUAGGUGGCGACCCAAGUCGAUGGUGAAAGCUCGCCGCUCAACGGCGAGUCGGCCACCGAUACUGGGUUGCUCGAGCACUGUAGAGGCUAAUGGAAUUCCGGGUGUAGCGGUGGAAUGCGUAGAGAUCCGGAAGAACACCGGUGGCGAAGGCGGUUAGCUGGGCAGUUGCUGACACUGAGGCGCGACAGCGUGGGGAGCGAACAGG
rnacentral:rRNA from 1 species